UCGUUCUUUUUUAGCAUGGCUCCUUUGUAUCAGCAGCAUCGGUGUUUAUAAUAUUAUAAGGUGGAAUUAAUCCAGGCGUUGUUAAUGCAUAUCUUGUGAUAUAUGGAUUGUGAAUGUAAUGUAACACAUUGAUAGUUCACAUUUUCCAGACAGCAUUUACUUUUCUGGUUUACCCUUGUUUGGUUUUGGCUUACUUGUAUACUGGGUCAUGGUUUGGUUACUUCUAAAUGACCUACUGAAAACAUGAUAUCCUGGUAGUUUUAUUGCAGGCGUGGAGACCAUGUUUGCUGAUUUGGGACAUUUUUCAGCUUGUUCAAUUAAGACAGCAUUUACUUUUCUGGUUUACCCUUGUUUGGUUUUGGCUUAUAUGGGUGAGGCUGCCUUCCUGUCUUGUCAUAAUGAAGAUAUUCAGAGGAGCUUCUACAAAGCUAUUCCAGAACCAGUAUUCUGGCCGGUUUUCAUAGUGGCUACAUUUACGGCG